GACGAGCCGUACGAACGUUAUUCGGAAUCACUGGGCUUAAAGGGUGCGUAGGUGGGCAGGUAAGUCAGUGGUGAAAUCUCUGGGCUUAACCCGGAAACUGCCGUUGAUACUAUCUGUCUUGAAUAUAGUGGAGGUGAGCGGAAUAUGUCAUGUAGCGGUGAAAUGCUUAGAUAUGACAUAGAACAUCGAUUGCGAAGGCAGCUCGCUACACUAUGAUUGACACUGAGGCACGAAAGCGUGGGGAUCAAACAGG
rnacentral:rRNA from 1 species